CAGCGUUUGGAGGCCAGUUCACACACGUUUAUUCCACCGUUGGUAGAGCGGCACGACCUAUAGGUUACUGGCCCCCCCGGUGAGACGGGCAGACCCACCGACACUGGCAAAAUAGCGAUACUUACGCCAGGCACAGCAUGAUCUUUGGUUCAAAUUUUGGCGGUAACGUGACGUCAUGAGUGACGGUUUUGUCUAGGUCACGCGACUUCCGUCUGUGAUCACGUGACAGCGACCGGAAGUUUCACUGCCGCGCGCAGAGUACGAACGGAAAGUUGGAGGCGUUGGUGGCGUUGGUUGGAGCCACACAGGGCCACAGCGAGCGGACGCCGGACAAGCGCAUCAUCAACAGGCGUCGUUGGAACCCCACAAGCGAUGCACCAGCAUUUUCUGCUUCUGUUCAACGUGUGGUGCGUUCGCGCCUCUCAAAUUUACGUGGACGGCGUACAUAAAGCGGACAAAACAACGUGAUCAGUAUUCAAAGUGACCUACAAUUAUGUACCUAAUCAACGGCAGCAACGUGAUCAGUAUUCAAAGUGACCUACAAUUAUGUACCUAAUCAACGGCAGAAGGGUAUACCGGAUCGUUGGCCUGGUAAGGGCCACUUUUUCAUAUAAGGUGAUCAAAUAAUGUGCUGCCUGCGACACAAGUUGGACAAGUUUCUCCUAGGGCACAUACCCAUGAAACAAAAACCUCUAUAAACGUCUUUAAAACGUUUGAUAACGGUAUCGUGUUUUAUUGGCGUGAUCUUCCUCCUUAAUUUUGAAUGUUUGUUUAUCCUCGCUGAACUGCUUCUCUUUACUAUUACACGCUGUUUCAAGAAUCAACGCACUUUCUUAGCGAGAUGUACGAGGACACGCGAAAAUUCCGGGGCCGUAAGCAAAAACGAUGCAGAUGGCUGCAUCGGAAAUUUCUCCGGCAUCUGUGUCAGGAAUGUUGAUUUGCGCGGUUUGUCAAGGCUCUGAUGACAGCAAGGCGCAC
rnacentral:lncRNA from 1 species